rnacentral:misc_RNA from 1 species
UUAUAUAUUUUUUUCUUUCAGAAAAUCAAUACAGAAUUAUCGCAAAAGAAAAAUCGUCCCGUAUCUCCAAAAUCAGAGAAUUUGUUUGUAAUAAUAUUGAUUAUUUGAACAUUUAAUUAAUUACUCACAAAAUGUCGGAAAAGAAUGACGGUAACAAUAGCGAUGACAGUGUUGAAAUUAUUCCCAAUAAAGAUGAUGAUAUUUGUGAAUUAGAACAUUUACGAAAACUAUUCAUUGGUGGUUUAGCUCCCUAUACCGACGAAGAUAGUCUACGUAAUUUCUAUAGCCAAUGGGGCAAAGUGGUCGAUGUGGUUGUAAUGAAAGAUCAAAACACCAAAAGAUCAAGAGGAUUUGGUUUUAUAACAUACACCAAAGCUUACAUGGUGGAUAAGGCUCAAGAUAAUCGUCCACAUAUUAUUGAUGGCAAAGCUGUUGAAGCUAAACGUGCUUUACCUCGUCCAGAACGUGAGGCUCAAGAGAAUAAAAGUGCCUCGGUUAAAAAAUUAUUUGUGGGCGGCUUAAAAGAUAAUCAUGAUGAAGCCUGUCUGGAGGAGUACUUUUCAGAGUUUGGAAAAGUUGUAUCGGUUAAAAUUCUUACGGAUAAAACUACGGGCAAACGUCGUGGCUUUGCAUUUAUCGAAUACGAUGAUUAUGAUGCCGUUGAUAAAGCUAUAUUGAAAAAAACUCAUUCCAUUAAAUAUGUGGUGGUGGAUGUAAAGAAAUCGAUUUAUAGCAAAGAGUUACAAAUGAAAAAGAAUCAACAGCAUAGUGGCGGCGGUAGUAAUUCUAUGGGACAACCGGGCAAUAAAAUGCCACCUAAAGACAAUCUUAGAAAUAAUAUGCCUCCACAACAGCCGCCACAUCCACCUCCAUACCACGAAGGACCACCACCAAACUACAAUCAAUGGGGCCCACCAGCACCAGCUAUGCCCCCACCAAAUUAUGGUGGAUAUCCACAACCUCCACAGCAUCAACCACCUCCCAAUUGGAAUUAUCCACCAGCACCUAAUACGUGGAAUGCACCACCACAACCCCCUGGUGUGCCCCAGCCACCACCGCCGGCCUGGAAUAACAAUCAGUGGGGUUGUCCACCACCAACAGGACCCCCAGGUCCACCUGUACCUAUGCCACCACCAAAUCAAAUGCCUCCUCCAGGUACUCAACCACCACCAAACUGGCAACAACCACCUGUAGUACCACCUGUGGUUGGACCACCCCCACCACAUCAUCCCCAACAACCGCCAGUUCACCCUCAAGUACCGCCACCUACUUUUGGUACCGGUUAUCAGCAGAGUUAUAAUGGCGGUCCCACUAAACAUCAGAGUGCUAUGAAUUCAAACCGCAUGAAUCCUUACAGUGCCCCGCCAAAUCCAAAUAAUUCAUAUAAUAAUGUGCCACCUGCACCUGGCUAUGGUGGCUAUAAUGCUGGACCACCAAAUGUCAAACCGCCUGUCAAUAACAAUAGCGGCCCUGGACCAGUACCCAAUCCAAUGACUAAUGGUGGAGGUCCAUCAUCUAGUGGAAAAUAUCGACGCUAAAAUUUCAUGGAUAGUUAUCAAUAAUUUCAAAAGUAAAAGUUUGGAUAUUCUAAUUUAAAAUAAAAGAUCGAAAUUCAUCACACCUUUUCAAAACAGUCGAUUUCAAAUCGCUCAAAUUCCAGCAUAUACCGGAUUACUAAAAAAUGUUACGAAAUGUUUUUCAUAAGCAUGGAUUAUUUUCAUCAAUGAUCAGAAAUCUAAAAUGAAUCUAUUAUAUUAUAUAACUUACUGAAAUAGCAAUUCUAGAUAUGUCCCCAUACAUACCUUUUCUACUUCAGUUGUAUGUAAGAAAAAUUAAGUUUAAAUUUGUUACAUUUUUGAAACAAAUAGUGCCUUGAAAACUUUAUAGAAAUAUUUUAGAAACCAAACAAUGUACCGAGGGAUGGUUUCCAGAAGUUCCAGUUCCAAGAUUGUUGUUCAAGAAUUUGUUGUUGGCUGUAACAGGUUGACUGUAACUGGAUGUUCUUCCCUGGUGAAAAAACGUCCGGUUGGUACAGCUGUUGCUGAAUUGACAAUCUUUAACGGAUUAAAAAUCGGGUCGUUCCGGAGCAGAUAUCCAAUUGUGGUGGGAACGGUUCGAGAAUCUAAAAGUG